GGAGGUAGUGACAAUAAAUCACAAUGCGGAACUUCUGUUUUGCAAUUGGAUUGAGAACAACGCACAACACUUAUCGAUAAACAAUUGGAGGGCAAGUCUGGUGCCAGCAGCCGCGGUAAUUCCAGCUCCAAUAGCGUAUAUUAACGUUGUUGCAGUUAAAAAGCUCGUAGUUGAAGUGAAGUGUGAAUCUCUAGGAUUUUCGUUCGAAUUUCCUUUAGCUUCAUACUCUUUCCAAAUAGUUUGCAUGGGUAUUUACUUAUCUGUGUAUUGCAUUUGGUCAUUUACUGUGAGAAAAUUAGAGUGUUCAAAGCAUACGUUUGUUUGAAUACAUUAGCAUGGAAUAAUUCGAAAAGGCUUUCAUGUUCGAUUUGAUUGGUUUGUUCGUGAAGGCAAGAUUAAAAGGGACAGUUGGGGGUAUUCAUAUUCAAUAGUCAGAGGUGAAAUUCUCGGAUUUAUGGAAGAUGAACAAGUGCGAAAGCA
rnacentral:rRNA from 1 species